AUUAGAUACCCGGGUAGUCCACGCCGUAAACGGUGGGCGCUAGUUGUGCGAACCUUCCACGGUUUGUGCGACGCAGCUAACGCAUUAAGCGCCCCGCCUGGGGAGUACGAUCGCAAGAUUAAAACUCAAAGGAAUUGACGGGGCCCCGCACAAGCAGCGGAGCAUGCGGCUUAAUUCGACGCAACGCGAAGAACCUUACCAAGGCUUGACAUAUACAGGAAUAUGGCAGAGAUGUCAUAGCCGCAAGGUCUGUAUACAGGUGGUGCAUGGUUGUCGUCAGCUCGUGUCGUGAGAUGUUGGGUUAAGUCCCGCAACGAGCGCAACCCUCGUUCUGUGUUGCCAGCAUUUAGUUGGGGACUCACAGGAGACUGCCGGGGUUAACUCGGAGGAAGGUGGGGAUGACGUCAA
rnacentral:rRNA from 1 species